AGUACCAGAUGUGCAUUGUGCA
rnacentral:miRNA from 10 species